rnacentral:rRNA from 1 species
AGUGAACGCUGGCGGCAGGCCUAAUACAUGCAAGUCGAACGGCAGCACAGCAGAGCUUGCUCUGUGGGUGGCGAGUGGCGGACGGGUGAGGAAUACAUGGGAAUCUGCCCAGUCGUGGGGGAUAACGUAGGGAAACUUACGCUAAUACCGCAUGCGCCCUUCGGGGGAAAGCCGGGGACCUUCGGGCCUGGCGCGAUUGGAUGAGCCCAUGUCGGAUUAGCUAGUUGGCGGGGUAAAGGCCCACCAAGGCGACGAUCCGUAGCUGGUCUGAGAGGAGGAUCAGCCACACUGGAACUGAGACACGGGCCAGACUCCUACGGGAGGCAGCAGUAGGGAAUAUUGGACAAUGGGCGCAAGCCUGAUUCAGCCAUGCCGCGUGAGUGAAGAAGGCCCUCGGGUUGUAAAGCUCUUUUGUCCGGAAAGAAAAGCGCCGGGUUAAUACCCUGGUGUCCUGACGGUACCGACAGAAUAAGCACCGGCUAACUCUGUGCCAGCCGCCACCGUAA